UAGGGAAUCUUCCACAAUGGGCGAAAGCCUGAUGGAGCAGCGCCGCGUGUGUGAUGAAGGGUUUCGGCUCGUAAAACACUGUUGUAAGAGAAGAAUGACAUUGAGAGUAACUGUUCAAUGUGUGACGGUAUCUUACCAGAAAGGAACGGCUAAAUACGUACCAG
rnacentral:rRNA from 1 species